UUCGGCUAUACCACCCAAAAUGCCCCUGAUCUCUCAUCUCAGAAGCUAAGCAGGGUUGGUCAGUCCUUGGAUGGGAGGGAGCAAUGAGACCCCAGGAU
rnacentral:rRNA from 1 species